AGGGAGUUGUGUUAUGGCGUCAAGGUGACCCUGCUGUCGCCAGGCUGGAGGUCUUCUUCAGGUCCACUGCAUUGUUGUGUAUGUAGUGCAUUUUUCCUUCCUUCCUUCCCUUUUUCCUAUUUUGUUUGCUUUUUGUAGUAUUUGGAAAUUGAUCCCAGGACCUUCACACUCGCCUUUCUUUACUCUUUACUCUUUGAGACAUUCUUGCAGUCACUAAAUUGCUUAGACUGAGCUCAGGCUUGUGAUCCUCUUUAAACUCAGCCUCCUGAUGCACUGGAAUGGCAGAGCCAUGCCUGGCUCUUCGUUUAUAGUUUUAUGGGACCACAGUAAUGUAUGUGUGUCAUUGUCCACUGAAAUGUCAGUAUUGAGUGAGUGUGUUUCCCAUCUGGCCCUUUCUAGAGAGGAAAAGUUCGUCACCCUCUGGUCUCAGGAGAGAUGAUGCCGGCCCAGACUAAAGUGCUGAUGGGAACAAAGUUACUAUGUGGCAUAUACGACAUUUCCUGGGGCCCAGAAGCGCAAACUCUUUAUAUACCAUUCAGAAACACUCCUCUGCUUGAGUGACUUUUUUCCAGGGAGACUGGGACAAUAUGUCUAAAAUGAACAGCAUUUUUUGGGUUAAUGGCUGUUAUGAUUUGAGUUGCAGUCUUAAUGGGGCUUUCUCAGAGCUGGCUGUAUCCAGAGUGUAUGGUCCAUUCGUGAUGCAAGGCUAGAAUUAAAGGUGGGUGAUUACUCCUUGGUCCACUGAUUUGUCUGGCACCCUAAUCCCGGUAGUCUAGGUAGAGUAUAAAAGGGGCAAAAAGAUGCUAUGAAAGUCCUUUGUUAUUUUGCUGCCUCCUGGCCACCAUGGACUGGUUCUCCCUUGUUGCUUUUGCUACCUUGUAGGUGCCAUGAACUGAUCUGUCCCUUGGAGCCAACCUUGCACUGAAACCUCUACAAACUGUGAGCUAAAUAAACCUUUCCUCCCUUAGCGAUGGAUGUUGCAUAUUUUGCCUCAGCAAUGAGGAAAAGUAAGUAAGACACAUUUAUUGGGAGCUUGUCAACUAUGUUAUCCACAGCUGCAAUAGCAAUGAAAGCCUCUCACAGAGCAGUAUUAAACUUGGCAAGUUCAAACCUAUAAAAAUGUUUUUCAUAAUUGUUAUCAUAACUAUGCUAAGCCCAAAUAAAGCCCUAUCAGAUAAUUUAAUCUUUAACAGAAAAAACUUUAGCAAAGCAGCAGCUAGGUGAUUUGACAGGAAAUCUUUGCUUGAUUUUAAAAAAAAAAUUUAAUUAAAUAAUUAGUAACAGGUUCAAGGCAGGUCAGAAAAUCCAUUAGGGGAGAGAUAAUGUGGAGAUUCAUUAGCUGUUAAUCCCACUUUAAACUCCUCUGCAGUUCAGGGAGACUGAAUGAAGAUCCAAGUGAUACAGACUCUGAGCGGUGUCACAAGAAGUUGAUCCAUGAAAACUAACUGUGCCUGGCCACUCAGCUUAGGUACUAUAGAUGCAGCCUACUGGGUGUGGACAUUGCUGUGUCCAUGCCCUGCACCAGGAGGCAGAAACAUCAGCAAGAUCAGGCCUGUGCCCUUUACUGGGCUUGCAUCCAGCAAGAAGGACCGGACCUCCACUGGCGAAAAUCACAGGUGAUCUGUUUUCAUCAUCCAGUCAUUGCUGACUAAUGCUUUUUCUUUAUGAAGGACCAAAGAACUGUGGAACCUUCCCCAUUCUUUACUGUGGCCCCACACCUUGCAUCUUCACUCACCAAUUGGAAGCUUUCAGAUCCCUUGGGGUGGGCCCCAAGUGUCCUCCCAGGGCUCCUUAAACUUGCCAAGGGCACAGAGCGCUUCUCCUUACCCAACCCAGUGUGAAGCUGGAACUAGAGUAUGGACCUGGCUCCUGCGGGUCUUCCUGUGGUCAGAAUGUGACCCAUGACCUCAGAGAAACCGGGAGAACUGGGAUGGUGGUCCCUUAUCUCUCUCCUUAGACCUCUGCUCUUCCCAUGGUCUAACCUUGAGAUCCAUAAAUUACCUAAUUUUGCAGAAGUUAGUCCAACUUGUGUUGCAGGCUCUUGAAGAGAAAUUCUCGCCAAUAAAAGUGUGGCCAAGGAAGGGGGGGGGGGAGUGGUUGAUGCUUGCUGCUAUUUCUGGCUAUGGGCUGAAGAGCAAGCCAGUUCUCCAGGACAGUGGGAGAGGGAGCCCCAGGCUGCGGGUAUGGAGCAUGCGAGCAGGAACGGGAUCUGGUGGUUCCAGGAAUGGGGCCAGGGACCUAUAAGUGGGGGGCCAACAGAAAAGAGAAAGGGAACUAACUCCAGAGCAGGAGAAGUCCGGUGUGUUUGCGAUAGGCUUUGCAUGCAAUAGGAGCUGUCUCCAGGGAGGGCUGUCCUUUUUUUUUGCUUAUGGUUGGGUGAAAAUUAGUCUUCGGCAAGUGGCAAUCGGCAGGACAGCAUCAGAGAGCUGAGUGCCACGUUCAGCUGGGUUUUCUCUCUCAUUACCCAACUCUCCCUGCUCGGAUUCCCUGUAAUUAGAGCUUGCUUCUCUGUCCCUGAUUGCCAGCAUUGAUGACAAGAUGUUUGAGCGAAAUAAGCUGUUUGACAUACUCAACUCAGAAACACAGUGUUUUGUGUGGGUUCUCAUUUGCCUGGAGUUGCUGCAAAAAUUUUUAAAAAUAUGUUUCCUGGGGCUGGCCCUGGGAAUGCAGAAGCUAAAGUUGAAAAAAUGAGGUCACAUGUGUGCUAGAUGAGAAGACAUCUGAGGUCUCCGGCAGGAAUUCACUCUUUUUUCCCUCAAGUGGGACAUUUUAAGUACAAAGUAGCACACAAUUCUUACAAGUAGUUGCCAAGACUCUUAAAAUCUCUAUAAAAGUUUUUGUCCAUACAAUGCUGUUUUUAUCACAAUAGCUUUGUGGUAUAAUUUCAAGUCAGGAGUGUGAUGCCUUCACUCUGCUUUUGUUGCCCAGAACUGUUUUUGCUAUUCUGGGUGUCUUCUGGUUCCAAAUAAAUGUUAAGAAUGUUUUCUCUAGUUCUGUGAUGGAAAAAAAAAAAAAAAAAAAGACCUAGGGAUCAGUGGAACAGAUUACAGAUUAGAAGAUGCAGAAACGACCCCAAAUAUACUCAGCCACUUUAGCUGUGACAAAGGGGCCAAGCAUGUUCACUGGAAGAAAGAGAGCCUCUUUAAUAAGUGGUGCUGGAAAAACUGGCUCUCCACAGGCCAAAGACUAAAACUAGACCCACGUCUAUCACCAUGCACUAACCUAAAAUCAAAAUGGAUCGAAAAUCUAAAUAUGAAGACAAACAUUAAAUCUGCUGGAAGAGAGAACAGGUACAACUCUUGAAGACAUUGGUGUAGGCAAAGGUUUUAUAAACAGAACCCCGAUUACACAGAGAAAUAUCGCAAAUAAUCAACAGCUGGGAUCUCAUCUUACUAAAAAGUUUUGCACAGUAAAAGAAAUCACCAACAGAGUGAAGAGACAACCCACAGAGUGGGGAAAAAAGUUUUGCUUGUUGCUCCUCAGACAAAGGACUAAUUUCUAGACAUAAAAAGAACUGAGAAAAAAUCAAACCCCUUCAAAUUAAAUUCCCAACCCAAAAAUGACACCAGAAUGAAUGCACACCUCUCAUGUGAAGAAGUACAAAUGGAAAAUAUAUUUUAAAAUGUUCAGCAUCACUGGUCUUUCAAGAGAUCCAAAUUAAAACAACACUGAGGAGCCGAGUGUGGUGGUUCAUGCCUGUAAUCCCAGCACUUGGGAGGCUGAGGCAGGAGGAUCAUUGUGAGUUUGAGACCAGCCUGGGCUACAAAGUGAGCUCAAGGCCAGCCUGAACUGCAUAGAGAGACCCUGUCUCAAAAAGACCAAAAAAAUUAAAAUUGAAAUAAAAAAAAAAAACCACUAAGAAUCCAUCUCACCCCAGAAAGAUUGGCUAUCAUCAGGAAAUCAACCAAUAACAAAUGUCAGUGAGGCAUUGUGGGAAAAGAGACACUUUUCCACUGUUGGUGGAGACCACUAUGAAAAUCAGUGUGGAGAUUUCUCAAAAAACUAUGACUAGAGAUCCCACACAACCCAGCUAUUCCCUUUCUUGGCAUCUUCCUGAAAGAAUUAAAAGUAUCAUAGUACAGCAAUGUAUACACACCCACGCCAUCAGCAAUACAAUUUGUAAUAGCUGUAUCCUGGAAACAGCCCAAAUGCCCAGCAACUGAUGAAUGGAGGAAGAUAAUGUGGUUUAUAACAAGAGAGAGAGAGAGAGAGAGAGAGAGAGAGAGAGACAGAGAGAGAGACAGAGACAGAAACUACUCAGCCUUAAAGAUAAACUUGAAACUUUUCUAGCUAACUGGAUACAUCUUGAGACCAUUCUCUUAAGUGAAAUAAAUCAGACGUAUGUGUAAAUAUCACAUUGUCUCUUUGAUGUGAGAAACUGAAAGCGUAACUAAGGACCAAAGUGUGUAAUAGAUAUUGGGAAAUGGGAAGAAAAUGUUCAAAUGAGAGGGGGUAUUAGGGAGAGGAGAGGAGGAAAGGAAAGGAAGCAAACCAAAAAGAGAACAGAAGGAUAAAAUGGAGACAGAGGGAAAUAAGGAAAGGAAGAGAUGGAGAAGGGAAGAGUGGAAUUAAGAAAGGAAUCAGGAUGGAUCGUAUAUAGAUACAGAUUCCCCAUGAUGCAUUGCGUAUAUCUAAAUUGGACCAAUGAAUUUAAUAAGGGAAAAAUAAUCCUACAAAUUUCUGCAACCUAGGAAUGAGGAGAAACAUAGGACCUCUCUACUAGUUGUGCAACUUGCCUUGAGUCUGUAAUCACUGCAGAAUGGUUUUGCAGUAAAGCAGCCUGUGAUUAGAUACUUUUGGGAAAUUCUGGGUACUGUAUCCUUCUGGUGGAGACUCACAAGCCACAAGGUUAUCUGAGGUCUGAGGAAGCCCUGGAACAAAAUAACAAGGUUCCAUCUUUGGGGUGACUUAGGAGCCAGUCUAACACGGAAUAGCUACCUACCGCGUGGAGAUUAGAAUCCAUGCGACAGUUCUCAGCUGCCUCUGCAGAGAAUCACAUUCUGAGCCAGCCUGUGCUGCCUGGAGAGCACCCAUGGACUCCAAAUUAUUCCCUCUGUGGCGCCUGAAAGCACCAUGGCCCACCGUUCCCCUGUGAGGCCACGGGGUGGGGUGAGCAUGGCAUGCUCGCAGGACUGCGAGGACCAGAGCAGAGGACAGCGCGUGCGGCUGAGAGGUGUGGACCCGAGUCAGAUAGAAACUGCACACGUGUGCAGCAAGACAUGGUGAGAAAUAAAGUGGCUCCUGGCUUGGCAAAGCCAGCCAGACUCCCGCACGGCCUCAUCCUGUUCAUCCUCACAUUCACAGGACCAGGGGUGAGGCACAAAACUCACCGUUUUGAGAAACAUAAUUCAAUCCACAAUAAUGAUUUCACUUUCUUUCUCCAGGAUGCAGCCAGUGUUCACAGACACUGUUCAUCGCCAUGGGACAUUUUCAAAAGGCACACAUUAAACGGUACCGGCUGAUACUUAUAUUCUCCCUUGGCGGAGAUUUCCCCUUAAGGGACCUUUGGCAUUUUUCACUGCUACCCCUGGAGGCAGUCAUUACUGGCUGCUAGUGGGUAGUGACCCAGGACAUCGCUCGGCGACCUACAGCCAGAUUCUGUAGUGGAAAUGCACUGAGGGCCAAGCUGAGGAACCUGGACCCGGGCAGGUGUCCCAUAUUGAUUAGGACUUCAAGAUAUCUUUUAGGGGCUGGGGGGCAGCCAGAGUUCAACCUGUAACAGAUCUCCCACUUCAUUUCAUUCUGACGUUACCCUAGGUUACACAUCUGACUCACUACCAUGGUGAUAACAGUGCUCAAACACAAGGCGGGGCAUGGUGAGAGCUCCCCGUGACAGGACCUGAGAUGCAUCUGUUUUAAGUGGUGCUACUCACUGAUUUCUACUGAUACCUGCAGCAAACAAAACUCACAGAGCUGGGAACAGAUCAAAGCACAGGGACAGUGCUGUGCGAUUUGGGAAAUGCCACAUCGCCUGAAAUAAGGCCACAUUCCAGGAAACUGAGGCCUGGGACCGCCUAGAUACCGUGGCAUGAAUUACACCCAGUGGUGACGGUACACGCUCUGUAAAUGAGUGUGGGUGAAACCAGUAGCCUCUUGGGGAGGAGUUUUGAGUGCAAGCCUUACCUCAAAGGGUGCACGCUUUUCUAUUCAAAGCACGAAGAUGCCUCUGACUCUCCCAGGAUGCCGUGAGAUGGAGUUUAUGAGCAUGAACUGCUGUGUGUGCAGCACAUCUCUAAGCAGAGCAGGUGCACACAGCCUCACUCCGAUCCCACAGAAACAUCUGCAAGUAAUUCUGUAAGGUUUGCCUCUGAAACCCUCCAAAGACCAGAGAAGAGGGGAGCUGUGACACUGUGCUACAGCCUAAAGCUCUCCCCAGAGCCGUACAGAUGGAUAUCAGCACCAUGCUCCUGCGCCUGAGAUACUGUGAGCUAAAUAGACUUCUUUUCUUUAGGUGUUGCCUAGCUUCGGGUGUUUUGUUACAGCAACAGAAAUGGACUAAUACAACAUAUCAUGCCCCUACAACCCUAUGAGAAGUUAUAUCAUCAUCAUCAUCAUCAUCAUCAUCAUUUUAUUCAAGAAACUGAGGCAGGCAUCCACUGAAGUCCUACUUGACACAGCUAGUAAUUAAGCAGUAAAGAGAUAAAUAUAUUUCAUGGAGUUUGUUUGAAAAGUUAGACCUCCAUUUAUGAUACUAGUUCUAUAGAAAAGUGUCUUCUGUAUUUGCAACUAGUUCUUAACAAUCUUUGAGCCAAAGUCCACCUCACCCUUGCUACCUGUACUUAAAUAGUGGUGUUUUAGGUUCCAUAGGACCUUGGUUAUUGCCUGUAUAAGGGGUAUAACAAAGGAUAAAACAGGAAACAGAGACAAAGAGAGUAAUGCAUGAUGGGUGGCUGGGAGGUCAGUGCCUCAGGGAGGGCAAAGACCCAGUUGUGGACACUGGGUGUGUACAAUGCCUCAUUUGUAUACAAUGAUGGGAGGAGUUAAUGGAGAUUGGGGGGUCAGUAACUCAGCAGGCAGUGGGUAAUCCUGGGAUGUCUCAAGAGGGUGGAGAUGAUUUUAUGCUAAGAAGGAUCUUGCCCUGGAGUGUUGUUUUUCAUUUUAGCUUUAGUGUAGUCUUGUGAGUGGGAGAGGAUGGUUUAUCCCUAGAGUUAAUAGGAAGACUCAAAAGUGUGAUGCCAUAACCCCAAGCCUCCAUUUAUCCCUCAGGGAAGGAUGCAAAAUUAGCCCUUGUGUCUCUGUGGUCCUCAGAACUUGGUGAGGAGGAGACUUCCUCCCGUCCUCCUGUCCUGCCCCAAGGCUUCCUCUCUCACUUCCUGCCUCUCUCCUCCCUCUCAACAUGACACAAUUUUCUAAGAAAACCCUGGAACGUCUCAGUCUGAUACAGCCUUCUGAAAGCAUGUCUCCCUUAAUGGAAGAAGUAUCAUAAAGAGCAUCCUUAAAGUUUGCCAAAAAAGAUGAAGUAAGAAUUACUCAAUUUUGUUAGGGUAAUAAAGUCUGGAACCAGCGGCCGUUCCAAGGGAGUUAUUAGGAAGAGGAAUGAACAUUUCAAGAAAGAAGCUGGUGGCAGGGUUCCAAGAGGGUGGAGAUGGAGGAAAAUGGAUUGAAAACGCACCCAAAGUAAGUGAGAUGAAAGAAUCCAGAGCCAAGCGUUCCCAAGAUGGUGAGGUCACCAUAGAUGAGGAAGAGAAGUGUCACACUACAGCUGCUGGGUCAGGGGAGAGUGGCCUCACCUUCCUGUAUGAGAGAAUGCAUCCACUGUCUUCGAAGCACCGAACAGAUCGUGCCAUGGCCCCAAGCAUCUGGGACUGGGUCUGCACGGAGGACUCUUGAGGCCCUUUCUGCUUGGAUUCUAUGAAUCCAAAUGGUUUGCUAAGGAGCAGAGGCACAGAACUGAGCUGCGAGGGGAAAUGUUUUAAUAUUAGUUGGAGAAUGCAUUGCCUCAUGGUAUGGCUGUGAAAUUCAAACCCGACUCUAGAGGACAGAUGCUUUAGUAAAGUCGUGAACAAGCAACUGAGCUGGCUGCAGGACUGGAGUGACCGCAGAGUGGGCUGGCCAGCACUGCAGGAGAACUGGAGCAGGGAGCAGGUCUGCUCUGCAUGAUGUGUCCAGCGCUGGCCAGAACUGGCUUGGGAGCCUGUCUGCUGCGUGUGCACAAGUGCCAGGGUCAUGACGGUGCUGGUCUGGGCCAUGUCCUCAGCCCCUGAGGUCCCGGCAGGUGGUUUUGCCAGGUCUGAGCUCUUGGGGCUCCAGAUCUGCCAGGCCAGAGAGUGUCCACUGGUGACGACAGGGGAGUGUGUCGAGCUGAAUAUGCCUCUCUGGGGAGCUGGGAGAGAAACCCAGUUGGCCCUCCACACCCACGGGUUCCACAGCUGUGGGUGUAACCAGAGGCAGAUAGAAACUGUGGGAAGCCUUUGUGGGUGAAUCUGUACUGAACGUGUAAAGACUUUUUACUCUCGUCCUUGACCCCCCCAAAAAACACGAUAUAAAAUUAUUUAUACAGCA